rnacentral:lncRNA from 1 species
GCAAAGUGUCUCUUAAUCAUCAGAUAUUUUGUCGGAGACUUUUGUUGACACCAUUGAAUUUUGGAACACAUCAACAGCGUUCCACGAAUAAUCAAAAACGAAACCUGUCUCCUGAGCUCUUAUCUACGACUUCGUGCGUCAAAAGUCAACUUCAAUGCUGAACAAACGACACCAAUAACAUUUUUAAGAAGGUAAUAAUGGUAAUGUGGACCAAGUUGAGGAAGUGGAGGAGGUCUGUCUGCCACGUUUAGUGGUGAGAGAUAGAAGGAUCCAGUUGUCAUGCAGUCAGAGGAGGAGUUCUUGAAACGUUAUCAACUGCCAAAGCAGUGCACCAGAAACCUGCUUCAGAAAAUCAGCAGAAAAUUACCCACAGCAAGAGAUGGCAGAGGUUGCAGCUUGUGUUAUGUUGCAUAAUCUAGCCACAACUGAGAAUAUUGAUAUUGCCAAAGAAGAAGACACAUAUGAACUGAGAGCAUGAUGCAGUACACUGCGAAAAUAAUGAUAAUCGUUUAGGGUUUGAUGUCAGAAAAUGUUUGUGAACAAUGGUUUUAGGAUGGCUUAGCAAUUAGAAGAAUUUCUGGAUGAAUCAUUAAUUUCCACUUUAAGCAUAUUUCUACUUACUUUAUAUUACCUGUAUAUUAAAAAGAAUUGUUUAUAGUAAAUUGCAGUAAUUAUUUUUGGUAUCAGGAACCGUCAUAUCAAACAUUUACCUUAUCAUUGUUUAUAAGUGAAAUAAGACCUUGUCAGAAACCUUG